GAUGAACGCUGGCGGCGUGCUUAACACAUGCAAGUCGAACGGUGAAAGAGGAGCUUGCUCCUCUGGAUCAGUGGCGAACGGGUGAGUAACACGUGAGUAACCUGCCCUUGACUCUGGGAUAAGCACUGGAAACGGUGUCUAAUACCGGAUACGAGCUUCAGUCGCAUGGCUAGGAGCUGGAAAGAAUUUCGGUCAAGGAUGGACUCGCGGCCUAUCAGCUAGUUGGUGAGGUAACGGCCCACCAAGGCGACGACGGGUAGCCGGCCUGAGAGGGUGACCGGCCACACUGGGACUGAGACACGGCCCAGACUCCUACGGGAGGCAGCAGUGGGGAAUAUUGCACAAUGGGCGCAAGCCUGAUGCAGCAACGCCGCGUGAGGGACGACGGCCU
rnacentral:rRNA from 1 species